UUCAUUUCGCUAGGUCGCACGUCUCCCCCACCCCCCUCGCGUGGCGGCUCUUCCCCGAUCUAACCUCUGUCGCGCUCAUCCCCAUUCUUGUACGCCGGUGGGAUCCUGCUUCCCACCGCGCAAGGGCGCCGGUACGGCAACCUCCCACAACCUGGCUUAGAUUUCGGACAGCACCACAACUUCGGCUGGGGGCCUCAAGCAUCGGUGGCGACGCCAGAGGGCGGUGACAACGGCAGCGAAUCAUCGCUUGUCGGUUGGACUCCACUUGCCGGUGAUUGAGGAAAUAAAUCACCAUGCCACUCUUCAGCGGCUACUACUUGCAGGCGGCGCUGGAUCAUCUAUGUUGAGGAUGGCUUCACCGACUUGUGCAUCGUCCGAGGUCUGUUUCCCUUUCCUAGGGUUUAACAAAAUCGCAUGAGUUAUUGGUCAAGAGGAGGCCCACAUGCAGCAAAGUAUGUCAACGCAAAAUCAAUGCAGGGUUUGUUCAGGACAUUACAGUUCGAAGGACAUGCAAAUGUUUGAUUCUCCCUGUGCAGUGUCAAUCAACUGUUGAUUGCAGGAGCAAGGUGUACGAAAAUUUGUUGGAACCAAGAUACUCAUCUUGAGUUUAGUGUUUUAUUGCAUGAACAUAACAAUUUACUGUUUUAUUGCAGGUACUCAAUAGAGUUCUUUUGCUGCAUUCAGAAUCAAGAUAUAUGUAGUGCAUGCCUUACAUAUUGGGUAAUGGCUACUUCCCCUUUCUUCCUCUGCCAUCUUCCCAGCAGCCAUGGUUCUCAUACCACUACUCAUUGCGAGGUUCCCAGUCUGCCUUCCCUCCCCACUCUCACAGGAAUGCUGACUGGCAGCGCACAUGCCUUUUCCCGACAGUGCCAUGGCACCUCUCUAUAGAAAAUAAACAAGAUGGGGACAACAAGUUUUCUUUCUCCAAAUUCUGGCACCCCCAUCACUUCCUUAAUUUUUCAUUACAAUUUUAAUGUCAGUAUUUUUCCUUAAGAAAGUUUGCUAACCAUGGCUUCAUUGCUAAUCAGUUUAUGGUUCACUUACUUGCCCAAAACAUAAUGUUUAGUUGCAGUUGAGCAAAGACAACUUGAUCGUGUUAAUGCAUAAGUUAAAUCAACAAUCUUGACAAACCUAGAAUCUAAGGUAUAUAUGCAUUGCGAUAUGUUUUACUGUCCUGUUAAAUUCCAAGGACCCUCUUUAUCUUGAGGCUGGUAUUUUGUUGCUCUGUCACUAGAAGAUGAUGCCUACUUGUUUUCUAAUUUGUAUGAUAAAACUGUAACAUGUCCUAAAAAAGCAGGUUUGGAAGAAUGGUAAUUUUCUAAAGCCAACUGUACAAUAGUAAUAAAAAUUAUCUAAAUUAUGGACAACAAAUGCCAGAAUGGAAUAAUAAGUAAAUGUUCAUUAACACUGUUAGCACAUUUGUUGGAAUAUAGUGGUUGUUGUAUGAUCUAGAAGCAUGUACUGCAUUGUAACAAUACAAUGCAUGUGCUACUGUUUAACAUGUGAUCUUACAUUGGUAUUAUUAUCCCUGAUUUUCUUUUAGCGACUGCUAUAUGAUCUUUGAAGUAUCAAAUCCAACAUUAAUGGAGCAUCAAGUGGCUGGGUUGAGAAGAAAAGUGUGUAUUUGUUGGACCUACAAGGCGCAGAAAUCUAACUGGCAACAAAAUUAUUUAUAUUUACGAAUGCGGUAAUAUGCAAUACUGAUACUUACUGCUAUCAUACAUAGUGUGCCGUGUUUUUUAGAAUUAUUUAUGUGUCAUGUUGGAAACAAUGGUGCUGGUGCCUUUAUGUGUUACUACUGCUUUAUUGUUCAUGUAUAAUGCCUUCA